rnacentral:rRNA from 1 species
AUGGUUGUGGGUGAUCUAAACGAGAUUAUGUUCUCACAUGAGAAGGAAGGAGGUGUACCAAGGCCUUUGAAAUAUAUGCAGACUUUUCGUGACUGCCUCACAGAUUGCUCUCUAGAGGAUUUGGGUUUCCUAGGAAACAUUUUCACUUGGAAAAGGGGCAGAGUUAGGGAGCGAUUAGACAAAGCAAUUGCAACUGAAACUUGGUCUGAUUUGUUCCCAGAUUUUGGUGUUCAUAAUCUGGCAAUGAUUGGGUCAGAUCAUCGGCCGAUUAUGGUGGAUACUAAUACCUACACAACUGUUGUAAGCAAAUCAAACAGACAUCGUAGGUUUGAGGGUCGAUGGCUUCAAGAGGAGAAGGUAGGGGAAAUAGUGGAGACAACAUGGACAUAUGCGCCACCAGGAGCCAGUGCAUCCGCGAAGCUGGCUGCUGUUCAAUCUGAGCUCCAUGAAUGGGACAGGAAGGUUCUCAAGGCUCCGAGGAAGAAGAUAAAAGAUCUGACCAGAGAACUUGAUGUACUGUUGAGUGGCAUAAUGGAUGAGGACUCCUGCAGAAGGCAAGCGGCAAUAUCUAAACAGAUAGAAGUAGUGCUGGAACAUGAAGAAGUUCAUUAUAUGCAGAGGCGUACAAGUAACUGGCUCAAACACGGAGACAGAAAUACGUCUUUUUUCAGAACUUUGCAAAAACUAGACGGAAGCGAAAUACCAUUGUUAAACUCAAGGAUGAUAAUGGGGAUGUAA